AUUUAUUUAUUACAAUUUAAUGGGAAUUAAAUUUAAGUCUAAAGGCAUACACAAACAGGCAAAGCCAUAAGGACAAUCUGUAGAAGAGUUAUUUGUGACCUGUGGAGGUCUAACUGUAGUGAGUAGUUAUGUUGUGCCUCUUAGCAAGCAUUGUCUGACAAUGCACCAAACAAAAUGUAUGUCCUUAUAAGACACAUGGAAAUACUUAGUGGGAAUAAUAAAGUUAUUGUUAGUAAUGCAACACAACAUGAAGUAAUGCAAUAAUAGUCCUUUGCUAUUCCACUAUUAUUCCAUGUUACCAUAUGAGUCCAAGAGAAUGCAGCAAAUAUGUAUAUGCUUGUACUGCACUGCAGCGUUGUAUUUUGUUUUUGUCAUUUGCACAUGGUUUAACUUCUUGCUCAUUGCUGGUUUAAUGAUGGUUUAACUCAUUUGCACAUUGCUCAUACCUUUAAUUUCGUUGCAGCUUUGGGUGUGGGAAAAAUACUAUGCAAUAGCAUGCAUAUUGUAUGUUAAACCAUGCCCACUAUCACUUGGUCAAUACAGCAAGGUCUCGGUCUGAGAUUUUCCUGUUAAGACCUUAACAGUUAAUACCUACUUAGUUAAUAAGUAGGUAUGAGUGUCUAGUGUGACACAGAAUCCUAUUCUAUUUUACAGGAAACAGCUCUCCACCUGGCAGUUAGAUCUCAGCAAAAGAAAAUUGUUAAGCUGUUAUUGCAGUUCAAAGCUGAUAUUCAUGCUACUGAUUGCCAUUUGCGCACGCCCCUUCAUACUGCCUGUGAUGAAAAUGACGACACUAACAUAAUUGCAUUAAUUCUAAAAUGUGAAGGUGUUAAUGUUAAUGCCAAAGAUGGGUAUGGAAACACUUCUGUAAAGCUUGCUGCAGAAAAGGGAAACAGCGAUGCUGUGAGGCUGCUUAUGGAGAAAGGGGCAGUUGUCACCAUACCUGAUGAUGUAAGUAGUCUACUGAACACAUAAUUUCAGGACUGGACUGUAUAAAAUGCCAAGUUUUAUUAAUUAGCUGGAAAGAGGAGUGGGCCAAGCAAGUUAGGUAUUA